GGAAGAACUGUAGCUCAGUGGUACGACAUCUGCUUUGCAUGCAGAAGGUCCCUGGUUCAAUGCCGAACAUCUCCA